UUUGAUUGGCGGCCUUUCCUCCUGCGGUGUAACAAUGCCCCCUAGUGAUAUCUUAGAUGGCUCUGCACACCGGGGAAGCAGAGGCACAAUCCGAAGUCGUCUUAUAUCAAUCACGCUGACCUGCAGAUGUCAGGGAUUUUUCUGAUAUACUAUAAUGCAGAAGCCGAGGGGUUCCAACGUGUCAGGUGACUGAGAAAAGAGAGCCACAAUGGAAGACAAAGGUGUCGGAAAAAAGAGAUGUGUCUCAUACUUACAAAGAAUGCCUCCGCUGUGUGCCUAUUUUAAUGACUGCUCCUUUUGUGUAGACUACACUAUGAGCAUCAUGCACAAAAAAAAGAAAAAAAAAGAAAUUGAGAUAACAACCAUGCAGUGGGAGCUACAUGGAGACGGACCGGGAAUAAAUGUUGACUGAUAAGUGCA